rnacentral:sRNA from 1 species
GCGGAAAUGAAUGGAUCGGAUCGGAUAGACCGAUGACGAUAGGUUCGCGGCAGAGCGAACAAGUGCAGAAUCGUUUCGUUGAUCGGGAAUCUAUCUGGAAAUCUAUCUAUGCAUCUGAACUGCUGUCUAAGUAUGGAUGAUGUUACUUAAAGAACACCAGCUUACACCUGCCUAAGUAUUUAAUAAAGACGUUCCUUCGGUAUUUUACCAAAUGGCAUACUUUCGCGUAUCUCCGUUUCUUUCAGUGAAGAUGAGUUGUGUGUUGACGCUGCCGUUGAUUAUUGUUCCUUGCACAACGGCGGCGAGCGCUUCCUGUUCGAAUGGUUUCUUAUCAGCAGGUUGCACCCGAUGCUAUCGGUCAGGGUCGUCGGUUCGGGGAGUUCGUGGCUGCAGGUUGCUCCUCUUUUUCUCCUGCUCCUGUUGACAGAUUGUAUAAUUGGCGUUGAAUUGAUUCGAUUACUGAGCGUCGCUCGCUUCUUCUGAUUGCUUUUAUUCUGCUUUAUAGUAUGGAAUGAGUAGCACGCAGUACCCAUAUGCCCCAUGUGCGAUUCUGAGUGAUGCAAGCAGUAAUUAGGUAAUAAACUUCGUAAGGAUGCAGGUAAUUAGUUGUUAGGAAACAAAUCAUGUAAUUCCUUUUAAAUUCAGAUUACAGAAACAUUGCAGUGCCAGUUUUGGUCUAGGAUGGCAAAACAACGGAAGGUUAAAAUACAAAAAAUAUAUAUUAUUAAUCUGCCCAUAGGAAAAAAUGUUCAUGUGCUAUCUAACCCUUUUAAUCGGAUUAAUUAGCUUAUUGUACACAAUAUAUUGCCAAAUCUGGAAAAUAUCUUAGGCUAUUUAUAAGUAUUUUAGCUUGAGUUAUGGCUCUGGAUGUUUUUAGCUUAAUAUUAAAAUAUUGGGACUUAAUAACAAGUAUCUUGCAAUUAUCUUCAAUAAGUUGAUAUACAAUUUGAACUUUCAAAUGCUACUUCAUGUCAUCUUAUCAUUGUAAGGCUUUUAAAUACCAUCAUUAUCUGAUGAGGACUAUAACUGAACUCUGUUGAUAACUUCCCAGUUGACCAUAUUCAGUCUUUUCCCAACUAUGAAUGCCAAAUAUUCAACUGGAAGGCAAGACUAUGCAAAGCGGACACCUGUUUUUGCAACACGAUCGCUAUUGUUGUAGCGGGGCUGCCGAUGUUGCUGCCGUGGAUGUUGCAGCAGUAGCAGUAUAAUGGUGGUGGUGCUGCUGCUGAAAAGUCCUCCUCCCCAACCCCCUUCUGCUUUCAUCUGCUGCUUCUGCAACUCGGGCCAUUUAUUCAGCAUUCAAAACUCGUCUAAAUCUAAACCGAAGCAACAUGUGUGUUGUUUGCCAGUGAGUGAGUGCCGGCUAGCUUUCAAUGGGACACGUUUGGUGGGGGUGGCUCGUUCGGUUCAGUUCCGUUCAGUUCAGUGGUGUUUUUGUGGGUGGGUGUUGUCCUCAGGGGGUGGCGCAGCCUCUGGGCCACCAACAUACGUGUAUGUGUGAAUAGCGAAUGCUGGCAAAAUAUUUGCACGACGCAGCCUCGCCAAAACACACGCAUACACAUUUAGAAAAGCUAACGGCAGCGGCAGGCGCAGCGCGUGUGGGCGGUUGCGCAACGUCGCUGCCGACGUCUCUACCGCUGUCGCAGCUGCCGCCUCAGCCGACGUCGCUUGCAUUGAACUCGGAAGUAGACGCAAUAGAAAUAGAGAAUAAAAAUAAAACCAGUUGGCGACGCGGGCCAACAUGCAACAUCAACAUCAUAACAUAUUCAAAUCGCCAACAGCGCCGCCAGCGGCAUUGUAACAGCACCAUCAACGUCACUGUCGCCGUCGGCAGGGCAGCAUUCGAAUCCGGAGCUUUUACUCUCACGUGAAAAGCGAUUUUUUAUCACCGCCGUGCCGUUGUUGUGAUUUAUUUGCUGCACUGCCUCGCGUCACGAAUUAAACUAAACAAGCAAAGUGGCACAGAAGAACAGGAGCUCCCGACGCAGCGAUACUCACGAAAAAAAAAUCUGAAAUCGGGGGUGAUUCGUUCCACUUCUGCCUUCCAAUUGCAAUGAUCGAUCGAUCGAUUUAUCUAUCGGGGGCUUGAAUCGUCAAAAGUAUGCUGUGGAAAAUGUCAGCAAACUCAAGAGAUUGAAUAAAUAGAUAGCUAAGGGAUUGCA